UACAGAGGGGCAAGCGUUGUUCGGAAUUACUGGGCGUAAAGGGCGCGUAGGCGGCCUUCUAAGUCGAACGUGAAAUCCCCGGGCUCAACCCGGGAACUGCGUCCGAUACUGGAAGGCUUGAAUCCGGGAGACGGGAUGUGGAAUUCCAGGUGUAGCGGUGAAAUGCGUAGAUAUCUGGAGGAACACCGGUGGCGAAGGCGACAUCCUGGACCGGUAUUGACGCUGAGGCGCGAAAGCC
rnacentral:rRNA from 1 species